rnacentral:tRNA from 2 species
GGGGCCUUAGCUCAGCUGGGAGAGCGCCUGCCUUGCACGCAGGAGGUCAGGGGUUCGAUCCCCCUAGGCUCCACCA